rnacentral:rRNA from 1 species
CACUAUCGUUAACUGAAUACAUAGGUUAACGAGGCGAACCGGGGGAACUGAAACAUCUAAGUACCCCGAGGAAAAGAAAUCAACCGAGAUUCCCCCAGUAGCGGCGAGCGAACGGGGAGCAGCCCAGAGUCUGAAUCAGCUUGUGUGUUAGUGGAACGGUCUGGAAAGUCCGACGGUACAGGGUGAUAGUCCCGUACACCAAAAUGCACAGGCUGUGAACUCGAAGAGUAGGGCGGGACACGUGGUAUCCUGUCUGAAUAUGGGGGGACCAUCCUCCAAGGCUAAAUACUCCUGACUGACCGAUAGUGAACCAGUACCGUGAGGGAAAGGCGAAAAGAACCCCGGCGAGGGGAGUGAAAAAGAACCUGAAACCGUGUACGUACAAGCAGUGGGAGCACCUUCGGGUGUGACUGCGUACCUUUUGUAUAAUGGGUCAGCGACUUAUAUUCUGUAGCAAGGUUAACCGUAUAGGGGAGCCGCAGGGAAACCGAGUCUUAACUGGGCGUUAAGUUGCAGGGUAUAGACCCGAAACCCGGUGAUCUAGCCAUGGGCAGGUUGAAGGUUGGGUAACACUAACUGGAGGACCGAACCGACUAAUGUUGAAAAAUUAGCGGAUGACUUGUGGCUGGGGGUGAAAGGCCAAUCAAACCGGGAGAUAGCUGGUUCUCCCCGAAAGCUAUUUAGGUAGCGCCUCGUGAACUCAUCUUCGGGGGUAGAGCACUGUUUCGGCUAGGGGGUCAUCCCGACUUACCAACCCGAUGCAAACUACGAAUACCGAAGAAUGUUAUCACGGGAGACACACGGCGGGUGCUAACGUCCGUCGUGAAGAGGGAAACAACCCAGACCGCCAGCUAAGGUCCCAAAGUCAUGGUUAAGUGGGAAACGAUGUGGGAAGGCACAGACAGCCAGGAUGUUGGCUUAGAAGCAGCCAUCAUUUAAAGAAAGCGUAAUAGCUCACUGGUCGAGUCGGCCUGCGCGGAAGAUGUAACGGGGCUAAACCAUGCACCGAAGCUGCGGCAGCGACACUAUGUGUUGUUGGGUAGGGGAGCGUUCUGUAAGCCUGCGAAGGUGACCUGUGAGGGUUGCUGGAGGUAUCAGAAGUGCGAAUGCUGACAUAAGUAACGAUAAAGCGGGUGAAAAGCCCGCUCGCCGGAAGACCAAGGGUUCCUGUCCAACGUUAAUCGGGGCAGGGUGAGUCGACCCCUAAGGCGAGGCCGAAAGGCGUAGUCGAUGGGAAACAGGUUAAUAUUCCUGUACUUGGUGUUACUGCGAAGGGGGGACGGAGAAGGCUAUGUUAGCCGGGCGACGGUUGUCCCGGUUUAAGCAUGUAGGCUGAUUAUCCAGGCAAAUCCGGAUAAUCAAGGCUGAGGUGUGAUGACGAGGCACUACGGUGCUGAAGUAACAAAUGCCCUGCUUCCAGGAAAAGCCUCUAAGCAUCAGGUAACAUCAAAUCGUACCCCAAACCGACACAGGUGGUCAGGUAGAGAAUACCAAGGCGCUUGAGAGAACUCGGGUGAAGGAACUAGGCAAAAUGGUGCCGUAACUUCGGGAGAAGGCACGCUGGUGUGUAGGUGAAGCCCCUGCGGGUGGAGCUGAGACCAGUCGAAGAUACCAGCUGGCUGCAACUGUUUAUUAAAAACACAGCACUGUGCAAACACGAAAGUGGACGUAUACGGUGUGACGCCUGCCCGGUGCCGGAAGGUUAAUUGAUGGGGUUAUCCGUAAGGAGAAGCUCUUGAUCGAAGCCCCGGUAAACGGCGGCCGUAACUAUAACGGUCCUAAGGUAGCGAAAUUCCUUGUCGGGUAAGUUCCGACCUGCACGAAUGGCGUAAUGAUGGCCAGGCUGUCUCCACCCGAGACUCAGUGAAAUUGAACUCGCUGUGAAGAUGCAGUGUACCCGCGGCAAGACGGAAAGACCCCGUGAACCUUUACUAUAGCUUGACACUGAACAUUGAGCCUUGAUGUGUAGGAUAGGUGGGAGGCUUUGAAGCGUGGACGCCAGUCUGCGUGGAGCCAACCUUGAAAUACCACCCUUUAAUGUUUGAUGUUCUAACGUUGGCCCCUGACCGGGGUUGCGGACAGUGUCUGGUGGGUAGUUUGACUGGGGCGGUCUCCUCCCAAAGCGUAACGGAGGAGCACGAAGGUUAGCUAAUCCUGGUCGGACAUCAGGAGGUUAGUGCAAUGGCAUAAGCUAGCUUGACUGCGAGCGUGACGGCGCGAGCAGGUGCGAAAGCAGGUCAUAGUGAUCCGGUGGUUCUGAAUGGAAGGGCCAUCGCUCAACGGAUAAAAGGUACUCCGGGGAUAACAGGCUGAUACCGCCCAAGAGUUCAUAUCGACGGCGGUGUUUGGCACCUCGAUGUCGGCUCAUCACAUCCUGGGGCUGAAGUAGGUCCCAAGGGUAUGGCUGUUCGCCAUUUAAAGUGGUACGCGAGCUGGGUUUAGAACGUCGUGAGACAGUUCGGUCCCUAUCUGCCGUGGGCGCUGGAGAAUUGAGGGGGGCUGCUCCUAGUACGAGAGGACCGGAGUGGACGCAUCACUGGUGUUCGGGUUGUCAUGCCAAUGGCACUGCCCGGUAGCUAAAUGCGGAAGAGAUAAGUGCUGAAAGCAUCUAAGCACGAAACUUGCCCCGAGAUGAGUUCUCCCUGAGACUUUAAGUCUCCUGAAGGAACGUUAAAGACGAUGACGUUGAUAGGCCGGGUGUGUAAGCGCAGCGAUGCGUUGAGCUAACCGGUACUAAUGAACCGUGAGGCUUAACCUUACAACGCCGAAG